AUUUGGUUAGGGUUUGAUUUAAGGUUUAGGAUUUGGUUAGGAUUUAAUUUAGGAUUUAGGAUUAGGAUUAAGGUUUGAUUAGGAUUUGAUUUAGGAUUAGGAUUUAGAAUUUCGUUUAGGAUUUAGGAUUAAGAUUUGAUUACGAUUUGAUUUAGAGUUAGGGUUGAGGAUUUGGUUAAGAUUUGGUUUAGGAUUUAGGAUUUGAUUAGGGUUUGAUUUAGGAUUUAGGGUUUUAUUUGAGUUUAUUUAGGAUAUAAGAUUUAAUUAGUUUUUGGCCUAAAGUUUGAAUGAAAUAAGAUUUCAACUAGGAUUAAAUUAAGAUUGAAUUGAGAUAUAUUUGAGAUAUGUUUGUAAUCAUUCUAAUAUUUCUUUAAGAUUUCUUAUUGUUUCUUUAGAAUUCUUUUGAAGUUUCUCUGAAUUUGAUUAAAACUUGUUUAGUAUUGUUAGUGUUCUAUUAGAAUUAGGAUUUUGUUGUUGCAAUUUCGAUUCUAUCUUCCACAACCAGGUGCGUGGAGCAUUUUCAAGCAAGACUUCACGUAUUAUGACAUUGUGAUACCAAAAAUGUUAUAUUUUACCAUAUAUUUAAAAAAAAAUACUAUUCUUAAAGAUCUUUAUUUCUUUUAUAUUGUCUUUAUACUUGUAACAAUUUUAAUA
rnacentral:lncRNA from 1 species